rnacentral:rRNA from 1 species
GAUGAACGCUGGCGGCGUGCCUAAUACAUGCAAGUCGAGCGAACAGACGAGGAUCUUGCUCCUCUGACGUUAGCGGCGGACGGGUGAGUAAAACGUGGAUAACCUACCUAUAAGACUGGGAUAACUUCGGGAAGCCGGAGCUAAUACCGGAUAAUAUAUUGAACCGCAUGGUUCAAUAGUGAAAGACGGUUUUGCUGUCCCUUAUAGAUGGAUCCGCGCCGCAUUAGCUAGUUGGUAAGGUAACGGCUUACCAAGGCGACGAUGCGUAGCCGACCUGAGAGGGUGAUCGGCCACACUGGAACUGAGACACGGUCCAGACUCCUACGGGAGGCAGCAGUAGGGAAUCUUCCGCAAUGGGCGAAAGCCUGACGGAGCAACGCCGCGUGAGUGAUGAAGGUCUUCGGAUCGUAAAACUCUGUUAUUAGGGAAGAACAAAUGUGUAAGUAACUAUGCACGUCUUGACGGUACCUAAACAGAAAGCCACGGCUAACUACGUG